CGGGGGCUGGGUGGCUCGUGCUUGUGGGUCGUCUACAAGCCUCCCUGGUAAGUGCUUUUACGGACUUUGUCCCUCGUCGUGGAGUGCAUGCCCUUCUGGAAGGGAAGCCGGAAGCGAUGAAACGAGGCCCACCUGCUGAGCUGCAGGGGGCCGGACGCUCCCCACACGGCCACAACGGCACCCCC
rnacentral:other from 1 species